rnacentral:rRNA from 1 species
AUUGAACGCUGGCGGCAUGCCUUACACAUGCAAGUCGAACGGUAACAGGUCUUCGGAUGCUGACGAGUGGCGAACGGGUGAGUAAUACAUCGGAACGUGCCCGAUCGUGGGGGACAACGAAGCGAAAGCUUUGCUAAUACCGCAUACGAUCUACGGAUGAAAGCAGGGGACCGCAAGGCCUUGCGCGAACGGAGCGGCCGAUGGCAGAUUAGGUAGUUGGUGGGAUGAAAGCUUACCAAGCCGACGAUCUGUAGCUGGUCUGAGAGGACGACCAGCCAAACUGGGACUGAGAAACGGCCCAGACUCCUACGGGAGGCAGCAGUGGGGAAUUUUGGACAAUGGGCGCAAGCCUGAUCCAGCCAUGCCGCGUGCAGGAUGAAGGCCUUCGGGUUGUAAACUGCUUUUGUACGGAACGAAAAGACUCUGGUUAAUACCUGGGGUCCAUGACGGUACCGUAAGAAUAAGCACCGGCUAACUACGUGCCAGCCGCCGCAGUAAUAC